rnacentral:tmRNA from 1 species
GCUAAGCCUGUAAAUGCCGCACGGAGUCAAAGUCGGACGUGGGUUCGAUUCCCACCACCUCCACCA